UCUAACUGGACCUAUUUGUGGGCUAUGGGGAACACGUCAGGACUGAAAAGAGGCUCCACUUUCUCCUUCCUGAAUGGAAUGGACAUGUUCAACCUAUGGUGGGCAGCAGCAGGAGUGUGCUCCCUGGUUGCUGAGGGUGUGGCGCCAUGGCGGGAACAUCAUACUGUCUCAAGGGCAACCCCUGUCCAUGUAAAUGAGGGACGCCUGUCUGCAGAACAUCACCCGAGGGUGCUGACUGGAGCUGAGAUCUUUAAGAGCAGAAGGAUCAGGACCGACGCUGAGCCUGCAGUCUCCAGGUGUGAGGGGAGAGCAUGGUGUCACACUUGAAUGAAGCUUGAAGGCUGACCAGGCAUCUUCCGGGUGCACAGGAAGAGGAAGUUGGUUUCAGACAAGAGGGGAAAUGAGCACUGGUCAGUGCAACAAGGUGAGAG
rnacentral:lncRNA from 1 species